rnacentral:rRNA from 1 species
CUAAUACAUGCAAGUCGAGCGCGGGAAGCAGAAGGAUUCCUUCGGGAUGACAUCUGUGGAACGAGCGGCGGAUGGGUGAGUAACACGUGGGCAACCUGCCUGUAAGACUGGGAUAACUCCGGGAAACCGGGGCUAAUACCGGAUAAGACUUUAUCUCGCAUGAGAUAGAGAUGAAAGAUGGCUUUUAGCUAUCACUUACAGAUGGGCCUGCGGCGCAUUAGCUAGUUGGUGGGGUAAUGGCCUACCAAAGCGACGAUGCGUAGCCGACCUGAGAGGGUGAUCGGCCACACUGGGACUGAGACACGGCCCAGACUCCUACGGGAGGCAGCAGUAGGGAAUCUUCCGCAAUGGACGCAAGUCUGACGGAGCAACGCCGCGUGAGUGAUGAAUGUCUUCGGAUUGUAAAACUCUGUUGUUAGGGAAGAACAAGUACCGUUCGAAUAGGUCGGUACCUUGACGGUACCUAACCAGAAAGCCCCGGCUAACUACGUGCCAGCAGCCGCGGUAAUACGUAGGGGGCGAGCGUUGUCCGGAAUUAUUGGGCGUAAAGGGCUCGCAGGCGGUCCCUUAAGUCUGAUGUGAAAUCUUGCGGCUUAACCGCAAGCGGUCAUUGGAAACUGGGGGACUUGAGUACAGAAGAGGAGAGUGGAAUUCCACGUGUAGCGGUGAAAUGCGUAGAGAUGUGGAGGAACACCAGUGGCGAAGGCGG